UUCGAAGUUGGCCGGUUUUCUUGGAUUUUCUCCGGUGAGAUUUCGUGUGUUUUUUAGCCUUAAAUUAGUACAUCGUGAUUCUUCAUGUUUAGGGUUAUAUGGCAUAUAUGCUUAAUGUGUUUUUAAAUUAUGGACUUGUUGGAUACUCUUUUUGCAUAUUAUCAUUCUUUUAUUAUCUUAUCCAUGAAUUUCAUACAAGUAUAAUUUUUUGUAAGUGUCAAUAUGCACUUAUUUACAAGAUAUACAAGAAAUUUACCUAAAUUCGCCUAGGCGCCCGUUGUUGGAAAUAUGCCUUGAAAGUCAAUCUUUGGAAGAAAUCUUUCAGGACAAUGAAUGUGUGUAUAGAUGACUCUUAUACAUCAAAAGGCAAAGAUACUAAUUAGGACUAUCUCAAUAAACGAUAUAUGUCCUAAAUAAUGAAUCCAUGGACAAUGGAUCGAUGGAAGAAGUAAUCUAAUGAUGUUAGACUACAGAGACCUUCUUCACAUAACCAUCAUGUCCAAAAAGGUUUUUGGUCAUAUAAGGAAAUUUAGUAAUGUAAGAUACUUAUCUUUAGCAUCCCGGAAUUUAAGUUGAUACACAACACACCUAUUCUAUAAAAUUAACAAAAUUUCAAAGUAUAAUUAUACUUAAGACUUUAAACAAAUUUCAAAAUAAAUAAAAAUAAAAAUAAAAAACCACCCAGCCGCCUAGCCCCCCUAGCCCACCUAGGCGGCCGCCUAGAGCCACCUGGAUUUUUCUUACCGUUUUGCACAAAAUCACCUCGGUUCCAAGGCGCCUAGCUCCUAGGUGCUGCCUAGGGCGUUUUUUAGAACACUGCAGCGCAUAUUAAAUCUUCAGAGCGUAGCUCAGAGCAUGCCAUAUGCUUUCACUGAUUUAGCGUGAGUGACAAGAUCACAAAUUCCAG
rnacentral:lncRNA from 1 species